rnacentral:lncRNA from 1 species
CUGAUUGGCUGCCCAAUUCCUCUGGGCCGGAGAGCGCUCUGAUGUUACAAUAUAUACAUUUUGAUACAAUCGUCCCCGCUGUAGGGGGCGGGUGCCCACGUGCUGGCACUGCGGGUUGCCAGCUGCCUCUGAGGAGAAGGCAGGGCUGCCCCCUGUCAAAACCAGCCGUUUCCAUCCAGCUCCAGCGGCACUGCCACAAGGCACAACCGAGCCCCACACCCAAGGUGGAGGCGUCCUGGGGGAAACGUCCCGAGGAAAGGGCAAGAAGGGGCAGAAUGCUGCCCAGCAGUGGGGAGAGAGGGUGGAACCGUGUGAGAGACAGCCACGUGAAUGCCCGAGUGAGAAGCUGGGGAGCGGGAGGCGGAGAGGGAGGAGGAGAAGGAGGUGGAGCGUGAGGAGGAGGAGGUGGAGCCGGAGCAAAGGGUGGAGAAAAAGCAUGGGCAGGAGGAGAAACAGAAGGAGGUGCUCCAAGCGCUAGGGCAGAGAUUCUCCCGCAGCCGCUGCUGGAGGCGGCGGGGCACGUCACCACACCCCAAGGGAUGCUGCAGCCUGCUCAGAGCCCACACAGGUACAGGGGAGAAGUGGAGGAGGAAGGAGCGGCCGAGCAGAGCUGUGGGGGGACUGACCGCUACCGCCCCUCACCCCUGCACCUCUCACGCUGCGGGGACGUCGAGGACUCGUGCGUGAAGGAGGGUAUUUGGGCUCGGGGAAGAGGGGAGGGGGGUCAGGUGCUUUUGUUUCUCACCAUCCAAGUCUGUCCAAAAUGUGCAAUGACUCCAAGCAACUUCCCCCACGUCUAUUCUGCUUUGCCUCUGGUGAGCGAGCUCCCUGUCCGUGUCUUGACCCACGAGAAUGCCCAUCGCCUUCCCUACUCUGUCCCGUUGAGGACACUGAGUGACCGAGUAGCUGGCUGUGCAUCGGGCUGCUGGCUGAGGUCAGCCCGCCACUGCAACUUCUACAGUACAUACAGACACAGAAUUAUUAAAAAGGAUUUGAUAAAGUUCCUUCCUGCUGUUGUUGCGGAGCAGCG